rnacentral:rRNA from 1 species
GCGAUGCUUUAGAGAUAAAGCGGAGGUAUUCGGGAGGACAGGUGGUGCAUGGUUGUCGUCAGCUCGUGUCGUGAGAUGUUGGGUUAAGUCCCGCAACGAGCGCAACCCUUGUCUUAUGUUGCCAGCACGUGAUGUGGGGACUCAUGAGAGACUGCCGGGGUUAACUCGGAGGAAGGUGGGGAUGACGUCAAAUCAUCAUGCCCCUUAUGUCCAGGGCUUCACACAUGCUACAAUGGUCGGUACAACGCGUGUGCGACACUGUGAGGUGAAGCUAAUCGCUCUAAAGCCGGUCGUAGUUCGGAUUGGGGUCUGCAACUCGACCCCAUGAAGUCGGAGUCGCUAGUAAUCGCAGAUCAGCAACGCUGCGGUGAAUACGUUCCCGGGCCUU